UACAGAGGGGGCAAGCGUUGUUCGGAAUUACUGGGCGUAAAGGGCGCGUAGGCGGCCUUCUAAGUCGAACGUGAAAUCCCCGGGCUCAACCCGGGAACUGCGUCCGAUACUGGAAGGCUUGAAUCCGGGAGAGGGAUGUGGAAUUCCAGGUGUAGCGGUGAAAUGCGUAGAUAUCUGGAGGAACACCGGUGGCGAAGGCGACAUCCUGGACCGGUAUUGACGCUGAGGCGCGAAGGCGUGGGGAGCGAACGGG
rnacentral:rRNA from 1 species